rnacentral:antisense_RNA from 1 species
UGCCUGGAGUGAAGAUUCUGCCCAUUGGUCAAGAGACCUCCCUCUCAGAUGCUGGCUCUGCCCCUGCCUUUGGGGGUCGACCCUUGUACUCGCAGGACCUUAGGUGACUCUGACUUUGUCAAAGGAAAAAUUUCUGCAUGUGCACACACAGAUCUUGGAAGUUUAUUCAUCUCAGCAGAGGCAGACAGGAGCAUCAACAGCCUUGGGGACAGCAGCAGUGGUGGUGAAGUCUGACUCUGUCGCCCAGGCUGAAGUGCAGUGCCACAAUCUCGGCUCACUGCAACCUCCACCUCCCGGGUCCAAGCCAUUCUUGUGCCUUAGCCUCCUGAGUAGCUGGGAUUGCAGAAAACUCGGGAAAUAUCAAAAACUUCCAAAAAAUAUAGAGAAUCAGAAAAAGCGGCCGGAUGCAGUGGCUUACACCUGUAAUACCAGCACUUUGGAAGGCCAAGGUGGGUGGAUCACCUGAGAUCAAGAAUUCGAAAACAGCCUGGCCAACAUGGCAAAACCCCCAUCUGUACCAAAAAUACAAAAAUUAGCCUGGCGUUGCAGCAGGCGCCUGUAAUCCCAGCUACUCAGGGAGGCUGAGGCAUGAGAAUUGCUUAAACCCGGGAGGCAGAGGUUGCAGUGAGCCGAGAUCGCACCACUGCACUCCAGCCAAGGUGACAGAGCAAGA